UACGUAGGGGGCAAGCGUUAUCCGGAAUUACUGGGUGUAAAGGGUGAGUAGGCGGCAUGGUAAGCCAGAUGUGAAAGCCUUGGGCUUAACCCGAGGAUUGCAUUUGGAACUAUCAAGCUAGAGUACAGGAGAGGUAAGUGGAAUUCCUAGUGUAGCGGUGAAAUGCGUAGAUAUUAGGAGGAACACCAGUGGCGAAGGCGGCUUACUGGACUGUAAAUGACGCUGAGGCUCGAAAGCGUGGGGAGCAAACAGG
rnacentral:rRNA from 1 species